UACGAAGGGGGCUAGCGUUGCUCGGAAUCACUGGGCGUAAAGCGCACGUAGGCGGCUUUCUAAGUCAGGGGUGAAAUCCCGGGGCUCAACCCCGGAACUGCCUUUGAUACUGGGUGUCUGGAGUCCGGAAGAGGUGAGUGGAAUUCCGAGUGUAGAGGUGAAAUUCGUAGAUAUUCGGAGGAACACCAGUGGCGAAGGCGGCUCACUGGACCGGUACUGACGCUGAUGCGCGAAAGCGUGGGGAGCAAACAGG
rnacentral:rRNA from 1 species